UGGGCCGAUUCGCCUACACAUGGACUUCCUUGGCUCUAGGCGGACUCAGGCUCCAUCCAGCACACGGGGGAAGAGGGAGAGGAAGAGAUAAUGGGCUGAGUUUGAGUGGAGGGUCCUUUUGGGCUGGACCCAUCUGCUACUUCUCACCUGUGUCCCCAGCUCCUUCCUGAUCAUCUGCUCAUCUUACCUGUCUCUGUCCCCAGAUAUCUGUUCCAAAAACCCCUGCCACAACGGUGGUUUAUGCGAGGAGAUUUCCCAAGAAGUGCGAGGAGAUGUCUUCCCCUCGUACACCUGCACGUGCCUUAAGGGCUACGCGGGCAACCACUGUGAGACGAAAUGUGUCGAGCCACUGGGCAUGGAGAAUGGGAACAUUGCCAACUCACAGAUCGCCGCCUCAUCUGUGCGUGUGACCUUCUUGGGUUUGCAGCAUUGGGUCCCGGAGCUGGCCCGCCUGAACCGUGCAGGCAUGGUCAAUGCCUGGACACCCAGCAGCAAUGACGAUAACCCCUGGAUCCAGGUGAACCUGCUGCGGAGGAUGUGGGUAACAGGUGUGGUGACGCAGGGUGCCAGCCGCUUGGCCAGUCAUGAGUACCUGAAGGCCUUCAAGGUGGCCUACAGCCUUAAUGGACACGAAUUCGAUUUCAUCCAUGAUGUUAAUAAAAAACACAAGGUAGGUCUUGU
rnacentral:sRNA from 1 species